rnacentral:tRNA from 1 species
AGCUUACACUUGGGAGAUGUUAUCAUAACCCCCUGA